rnacentral:rRNA from 1 species
AACGAACGCUGGCGGCGCGCCUAAUACAUGCAAGUCGAGCGAGAAGGUGUAGCAAUACACUUGUAAAGCGGCGAACGGGUGAGGAAUGCAUGGGUAACCUACCCUCGAGUGGGGAAUAACUAGCCGAAAGGUUAGCUAAUACCGCAUACGUUUCCGGAACUUCGGUUUCGGAAAGAAAGCAAUACCGUGGGUAUUGCGCUCCUGGAUGGGCUCAUGUCCUAUCAGCUUGUUGGUGAGGUAACGGCUCACCAAGGCUUCGACGGGUAGCUGGUCUGAGAGGACGAUCAGCCACACUGGCACUGCGACACGGGCCAGACUCCUACGGGAGGCAGCAGUAAGGAAUAUUGCGCAAUGGACGAAAGUCUGACGCAGCGACGCCGCGUGGGGGAUGAAGGUCUUCGGAUUGUAAACCCUUUCGGGAGGGAAGAGUGGAGUGGGUAACC